rnacentral:rRNA from 1 species
UGGGGAAUCUUCCGCAAUGGACGAAAGUCUGACGGAGCAACGCCGCGUGUAUGAUGAAGGUCUUCGGAUUGUAAAGUACUGUCAUUGGGGAAGAACGGUUUUCUUGAAAAGAUUGAGAAGACAUGACGGUACCCAAGGAGGAAGCCCCGGCUAACUACGUGCCAGCAGCCGCGGUAAUACGUAGGGGGCAAGCGUUGUCCGGAAUUAUUGGGCGUAAAGGGCGCGUAGGCGGGCCUUUAAGUCCGGUGUGAAAGAUCAGGGCUCAACCCUGAGAGUGCAUCGGAAACUGGAGGCCUUGAGGACAGGAGAGGAAAGUGGAAUUCCACGUGUAGCGGUGAAAUGCGUAGAUAUGUGGAGGAACACCAGUGGCGAAGGCGACUUUCUGGACUGUAACUGACGCUGAGGCGCGAAAGCGUGGGGAGCAAACAGGAUUAGAUACCCUGGUAGUCCACGCCGUAAACGAUGAGUGCUAGGUGUAGAGGGUAUCGACCCCUUCUGUGCCGCAGUUAACACAAUAAGCACUCCGCCUGGGGAGUACGGCCGCAAGGUUGAACUCAAAUGAAUUGACGGGGUCAUAGCUGUUUU